GAUGAAGAACGUAGCGAAAUGCGAUAAGUAGUGUGAAUUGCAGAAUUCAGUGAAUCAUCGAAUCUUUGAACACACAUUGCGGCCAUAGGUAUUCCUUUGGCCAUGCCUGUUCGAGCGUCAUUUACACCCUCAAGCCUAGCUUGGUGUUGGGCGUCUGUCCCGCCGUUCUCGCGCGCGGACUCGCCUCAAAGUCAUUGGCGGCGGUCGUGCCGGCCCCCUCGCGCAGCACAUUUGCGCUUCUCGGAGGCCCGGCGGAUCCGCGCUCCAGCAAGACCUUUCACGACUUGACCUCGGAUCAGGUAGGGAUACCCGCUGAACUUAAGCAUAUCAAUAAGCGGAGGA
rnacentral:misc_RNA from 1 species